GCUGGACUUUUAUCACUGAAAUGGGAAGCAUGCUAUUGUACCGCCACUGAGGACUGUCCGUGUUGUGCCGGGGCAGAAGAUGGUUUAUGGUUCUUGAUAGAAAAGCCACAGUAGUUACAGCUUUUAGAAACUGCAGAAGGGUCUAGCGUCAUACCGCACUCUUGCUUGUCUCCUGACACCACAUGGUGCCAGGACCCUAGGAAAAUGAGGUCGAGAGGCAGAGGCAGAAAGGAAACAAACAACACGGCGAGGGGGUGGAGAGUUCAGACAGAGCCUCUGCCUUGCUGCUGGGUGACCUCAAACCUGGAUUGUGAAGUGUCAGUUCUAUAGAAAAUGAACAGCGGGGUGGUUCUUAUUCUUUCCACGACUUCUUGGAAUGAUUGCUGGUAUGUAGAGAGUUACGGCAGACACAUUGGAGCACUGCUGUUUGGCACCUUCCCAGCCCAGCUUUCUGUAGAGCUGCUAGCCAAAGGCUGUCUGAAGCUGUUAGCAGGAGAGGCCCAGCUGGCCUCGGGGAGUUUCAGCCUUGGAAUUAGAAGAAAUGGUUCUGGAUCUGGCUUUGUCCCUGACUUACUGAGGUGCUGGCGACUGGCUUCCUACGUGCACGCUUGGAUGUCUGAAUGGAGAUCUCCCUCAUCCUUCAUGCCCACCUAGGUGCACGGGAAGCAUCAGGCACUUUCCGUGUCCAGCAAACCCUGGGUAUUCACUCAAACUGAUGGCUCUCUUCCAGGUUUGGAAGGCAUGUGAUGUACAGGCUGAGAGCUAUAUGACAGAAGAACUCCAGUGAAGUGCUGAUCGGUGGCUGCAGCGUUUUGCACUGAAGGAAGCAGUGCUCAAUUGUUAGGAUUAUUUUAACUAGGUUAAAAAAAAUAUACAUAGGACUGCAUCCCAAGACAGCACUUACAAGACAGCACGAAGGAGUGUUAGCUUGCAACAUCUAUUUCUUUGCUUGGCUGUCCCUGCUUUGGAAGACCCUGCUUUCCAGGAUAGAAUUAUUGGUACUGAGUCAUGUAAAUGAAGAUAUUAUAGCAGUGGUCAGAACCUUGGAGACAAACCUUCAUUUCCAUCCGUAGUGGGACUGUUGGAGUGUUUGCAAAACGUUUUACUGCAGCUGUGAGAAGCAAAAUGGAAGCGUAUCUGUUGUCCAGAAGGGCACUCACUGUCUCUUGUUUAGGAAACCCAUCCUAAACUUGGAGGUAGUAGGGGCUCAUUAUGAAAACUCCAUGAACUCAGACAGCAGAGCCAAGCCGAACUCUCCUUGUACACUAGGUGGUGGUGAGCUGAUUUAUAUUCUUUUUGCAUACCUGAGGUGUUCAUAUUGUGUUGCUUAACCAAAGGCUGGGCAGUGUGAGCGGGCAACAUGGAAUGGCACUUGGGAAACGCAAACGUCAGGGUCUUAUGCAGACUCCAACUCCUUUGAUCAACUCUGAGGCAUAUUUGGACAAACAGGCAACGCUUAGUGAAACAAUGGAAAUGUUCGGUUGAGCCAAUCAGAUAGACAUAUGAGUGAUGCUUGAAUUCAUGAAGGGCUUAUUGGUUUUUCUUAAAGGACUUCCAGAUGGGGUUUGCGUUAUUUCAUGAUUUAUUACAACCCGUAUUAUAAUAUUUAUAACUAAUACAGAGAAUUCUUUAGGAGGUUAUGUGAUAUGUAAUAAGCUGAUGUACGCCAGAUGGCGUUAGGUAAGGGCAGACACUGGGAAAGCGAAGGGCCUGUGUCGAACAGGGCUUAAAGUAAUUCUCAAGCAUCUUGUAAAAUACUAGAUAGGUUAAAGCAGAAACCGUAACUCGCUUCUAUAAAGGAAGCUUUUCUAAGUUUGAACAGAUUUCCAUCUCAUGUGUGAUUUUUUUUCCCUUUCAGUUGCAGUUAGGGAAGACUACUGUAUCACAAGCUUUACGUCCAAUCUGAAACUCAACUGUGAAUGACCUGGGUGCCAAAGAUCCCUUUCGUAAGCUACAAGACAACUGCUCAUAGAAAAAUGGGCUCAUUUCUUUUUUACAGUGUGUCUCUAUUCUAUAUCAACUGAGGAAGCACUGUUAAGCACAUUGUAUGUAGCACACACGGCUACACACACACACACACACGUGUGUGUGUGUGUAUACUCAGACAGUCUGCAGUGGGUGUGCAGUAGGGUGAGAACAUCGAACAGAAGAAUCGCCCCGGAAGAGCAGCAAGUAGAUUAAUCUUCCCCACAGAACCCAAGGGGAGGCUCUUGUGACAAAUAACUUCACAAGUGACAGCCAAGAAAAGAUGUUUAAAAAGGAACAUUUUGUUUCAUAAAACAGCACAGUGACAGGAAACAUACAUUAGAUGUUUUGCUCUCACCAACAGUGCUCUGUGCUCUGCAGGCCUGUAACAUAAAUUCUGGGCCAUUUUUGGAGAAGUAGCUAAUUUUGUGUCGGAGGGGUUAUCCCUAAAGAUAAGUUUUAUCAUUUAAAGCACACUUUUGUGAUGGCA
rnacentral:lncRNA from 1 species